rnacentral:rRNA from 1 species
AGUGAACGCUGGCGGUAGGCCUAACACAUGCAAGUCGAACGGCAGCACAGUAAGAGCUUGCUCUUACGGGUGGCGAGUGGCGGACGGGUGAGGAAUACAUCGGAAUCUACUUUUUCGUGGGGGAUAACGUAGGGAAACUUACGCUAAUACCGCAUACGACCUACGGGUGAAAGCAGUGGAUCUUCGGACCUUGCGCGAUUGAAUGAGCUGAUGUCGGAUUAGCUAGUUGGCGGGGUAAAGGCCCACCAAGGCGACGAUCCGUAGCUGGUCUGAGAGGAUGAUCAGCCACACUGGAACUGAGACACGGUCCAGACUCCUACGGGAGGCAGCAGUGGGGAAUAUUGGACAAUGGGCGCAAGCCUGAUCCAGCCAUACCGCGUGGGUGAAGAAGGCCUUCGGGUUGUAAAGCCCUUUUGUUGGGAAAGAAAAGAAGCAGGUGAAUACCUGGAUGUUCUGACGGUACCCAAAGAAUAAGCACCGGCUAACUUCGUG